rnacentral:rRNA from 1 species
AUUGAACGCUGGCGGCAGGCCUAACACAUGCAAGUCGAGCGGCAGCGGAAAGUAGCUUGCUACUUUGCCGGCGAGCGGCGGACGGGUGAGUAAUGUCUGGGAAACUGCCUGAUGGAGGGGGAUAACUACUGGAAACGGUAGCUAAUACCGCAUAACGUCGCAAGACCAAAGAGGGGGACCUCCGGGCCUCUUGCCAUCAGAUGUGCCCAGAUGGGAUUAGCUAGUAGGUGGGGUAACGGCUCACCUAGGCGACGAUCCCUAGCUGGUCUGAGAGGAUGACCAGCCACACUGGAACUGAGACACGGUCCAGACUCCUACGGGAGGCAGCAGUGGGGAAUAUUGCACAAUGGGCGCAAGCCUGAUGCAGCCAUGCCGCGUGUAUGAAGAAGGCCUUCGGGUUGUAAAGUACUUUCAGCGGGGAGGAAGGUGUUGAGGUUAAUAACCUCAGCAAUUGACGUUACCCGCAGAAGAAGCACCGGCUAACUCCGUGCCAGCCGCCGCGGUAACAC